GCGGCGUGCCUAACACAUGCAAUUCGAACGGGGUGAGGCCCUUCGGGACCUUUACCUAGUGGCGAACGGGUGAGUAACGCGUGAGGAACCUGCCUUUCAGUGGGGGACAACAGUUGGAAACGACUGCUAAUACCGCAUGAAGCUUUUGGGAGACAUCUCCUGGGAGCCAAAGCUUAAUGUGCUGAAAGAUGGCCUCGCGUCUGAUUAGCUAGUUGGUGGGGUAACGGCCCACCAAGGCGACGAUCAGUAGCCGGUCUGAGAGGAUGAACGGCCACAUUGGGACUGAGAUACGGCCCAGACUCCUACGGGAGGCAGCAGUGGGGAAUAUUGGGCAAUGGGCGAAAGCCUGACCCAGCAACGCCGCGUGAAGGAAGAAGGCCUUCGGGUUGUAAACUUCUUUUACCAGGGACGAAGGACGUGACGGUACCUGGAGAAAAAGCAACGGCUAACUACGUGCCAGCAGCCGCGGUAAUACGUAGGUUGCAAGCGUUGUCCGGAUUUACUGGGUGUAAAGGGCGUGUAGGCGGAGAUGCAAGUUAGGAGUGAAAUCUAUGGGCUCAACCCAUAAACUGCUUCUAAAACUGUAUCCCUUGAGUAUCGGAGAGGCAAGCGGAAUUCCUAGUGUAGCGGUGAAAUGCGUAGAUAUUAGGAGGAACACCAGUGGCGAAGGCGGCUUGCUGGACGACAACUGACGCUGAGGCGCGAAAGCGUGGGGAGCAAACAGGAUUAGAUACCCUGGUAGUCCACGCUGUAAACGAUGAAUACUAGGUGUGGGGGGACUGACCCCCUCCGUGCCGCAGUUAACACAAUAAGUAUUCCACCUGGGGAGUACGACAACAAGGUUGAAACUCAAAGGAAUUGACGG
rnacentral:rRNA from 1 species